CAUUUAAUUCAUUUCUGUUUCGCGCACUCUUGAUUCUCUCUCCUCUCUCUCUUUGUGUCUGCUAAUCUGGUCAUGCGAUGGAAGACCAUUCCCUAGACAAGGUAGCGAUGUCAGGCCCAGCCCUGGCCUCCACGAUCCAACGCUUCUCCACCUCCCCAGGCUCCGUCGACGGCCUGAUCUUCGGCCAUGUCAGCCACAUCCCCCCUACUCUUACCGACGACUCUCCCAAUUCCACCUCCUCCGCCACUCUCAUCGCCACAGUCACCGCCUUCUUCUGCUCCGGCUCCACCCUCUCCUUCUACAACUCCUCCGGCCGGGUCGACCCCCUCUCCCUCCGCCGCCUCGUCCAAGCCCAGCAGGCCCAAUCCCCCUCCUCCCACCUCCUCGGCUGGUUCUCUGGCCGCCGUAGAACCCACCUCCGCCCCUCCCUCCGAGAAUUCUCAGUCUCCAACUCUCUCUCCUCCAACCCCACUCUCAACUUCCCAAUUCAAAACCCUCCCGAGAGCUCCGCCGCCGCCCCAACUCUCACCCCCUCCCUCUUUCUCCUCUUCGCUUCUCCGGUCACCGAUCAGACCAUCCACACUCACGAGUACCGUGCCUAUCAGUUCCGGCCAUCCAAGCACUCCUUCGAGCCGAAAUCGAUCCAGAUCGUCAACAUUGGGCCCGCGUUCCGAGCCCAUUACGGGAAUUUCAACCCUAGCUCGCCGUUCCCAAUUUUGCCCUGCGAGCUUAGGGUUUCGCCGAUGAAUGUCGACAGGGGAGAGGAGAGCUUAGAUCAACUCAAGCAGCACAACAAGGAUCAGAGCGAACUUGAUAUGUGCAGUGAGGGUUUGGAUGUUGGAAGCCUCAGUAGGCUGAUGGGUUCGGAGGCCGCGAAUUACACCGCCGGCGUCGAGGACUUGUAUGAGAAAAUGCUUGUCAAGAUUGAAACUUUGACCAGGCUCGUUGAGCAGAGCUCUGCCAAGGUUCUUGAGCAGGAAAAUCACAAUAGAAAGCUAAGGUACAAAGCUGCUAGGUCUGCUGGGUUGGAGUAAUUGCGCAAUUCUAGCUGGUGGCAUUUUCUGGGUGGUGAGUUUGGUUAAUUUUCUUUUUCCGGCCAGUUUAUUUUAAUUCCUAUAUUCAUACAGUUUGAAUACAUGAUAUUUUACUUUAGUUUCCAAUAAAAAGAAUCAAGUAUUGUAGGCAGACACCAAAAGCCAUAAGACUUGGUCAAAUAGCGACCGCCUUAACGCAAAGCAUACGCUUUCGCGUGAAAGGCUUACACCUGAUGGGAAACUCUCGAACCCCUGUACGCCUGGUUGAAAAUUCAUAGGCGCCUUAAUUCUCUCAUUGAGGAGAAUGCCCAACUUGGUGGGUGUGCUAGCUGAUGUAUGUAAGAUUUAGCAGCCAUGGCAUUGCUUUUUGAUGAAUCAUACGGUCAACGACUUCCUGAGAUGAAAAUCUGUAGGAAGCAUGGAAGUGUUUAUGUAGUCAUAUGGUUGGCAUGUUUUGGUGGUAGUUGAAGAUGUCCUUUUGUACUCGUAUGCUUUUGCCGUAUCAAGUCCCGUGUAUUAUCCAUUUAUCCAUGCGUUUGUUAAAAUCACUCCGCUUUAUAAAAGGAUGAUGAAGGCAAAUGGAUUUGCGGUGUUUUUAUCUUUUCUUCUUCGACCGUGGCCCAGGGCAAUUGCUAGCUUAGCCCUAGGGUCUAGGUCACGCAACUGAACGCCAUAGACACAAGAAGAUACACCUUCGGUUGUAGGGCAGAAUUUAUCCUUCAAUGAGGCGAUGUUGAAUUUGUAGGAACUCUUUUGUCCAAUUAAUUUUCUUCUGUUUUGUGAA